UAGGGAAUCUUCCACAAUGGACGAAAGUCUGAUGGAGCAACGCCGCGUGAGUGAAGAAGGUUUUCGGAUCGUAAAGCUCUGUUGUUGGUGAAGAAGGAUAGAGGCAGUAACUGGUCUUUAUUUGACGGUAAUCAACCAGAAAGCCACGGCUAACUACGUGCCAG
rnacentral:rRNA from 1 species